GUAAGGAAUAUUGGACAAUGGACGCAAGUCUGAUCCAGCCAUGCCGCGUGAAGGAUUAAGGUCCUCUGGAUUGUAAACUUCUUUUAUAAGGGACGAAAAAAGGCUUUUCUAAGUCGUCUGACGGUACCUUAUGAAUAAGCACCGGCUAACUCCGUGCCAGCAGCCGCGGUAAUACGGAGGGUGCAAGCGUUAUCCGGAUUCACUGGGUUUAAAGGGUGCGUAGGCGGGCAGGUAAGUCAGUGGUGAAAUCCUAGAGCUUAAAUCUAGAACUGCCAUUGAUACUAUCUGUCUUGAAUAUUGUGGAAGUAAGAGGAAUAUGUCAUGUAGCGGUGAAAUGCUUAGAUAUGACAUAGAACAACUAUUGAGAAAGCAGCUUACUACGCAUAUAUUGACGCUGAGGCACGAAAGCAUGGGGAGCAAACAGGAUUAGAUACCCUAGUAGUCC
rnacentral:rRNA from 1 species